GACGAACGCUGGCGGCGUGCUUAACACAUGCAAGUCGAACGAAGUGGCGAACGGGUGAGUAACGCGUAAUCAACCUGCCCUUCAGAGGGGGCCCACAGUUGGAAACGACUGCUAAUACCGCAUACUGAAGGAGGGGAGUGCGUGUGAUUAGCUAGGUGGAGGGGUAACGGCCCACAAAGGCGAUGAUCAGUAGCCGGGUUGGGAGGGUGGACGGCCACAUUGGGACUGGGGCACGGGCCAGAAGUCUACGGGGAGGAGCAGUGGGGGAUCUUCCGCAAAGGGCGAAAGUCUGACGGAGCCACGCCGGGUGAGUGAUGGCGGCCUUCGGGUUGUAAAGCUCUGUUAAUCGGGACGCGGUACCGGAAUAGAAAGCCACGGCUAACUACGUGUCAGCAGCCGCGGUAAUUC
rnacentral:rRNA from 1 species